CGCUUAGAUUCCGGACCGCGUCCGGGAACGGACUGGGUCCUCCUUAGAGCCCGGAGUGGAUCCGGGGACGGACUGGGUCCAACUUGGAACUUAACCGGUUCAGAGAAGGGACUGGGUCUGGCUUAAAACCCAAACUGCCUCUGGGGAUUGAAUGGGUCUAAGUUGGAGCCUGGACCGAGUUGGGGAAGCGACUGGGUCUGACUAAUCUGGACUGGGUCCAGUGUGAGGCCUCACUUUCUGGUGACCCGGAAGAGGCCUGCUGGGACACCGCAGCACUCCAGAGCUUGCGCACAGGGUCCUGGGAAACUGGCGGAAAACAGCAAAGGAUGGAUUCCUACUGUGCUUUCUCAGCAGCUUCCUUAUGCUUCAUUACCCAAACAAUUCUGCAGAAUUGUACACACCAGUUCCUGUAGACUUAAUUUCAUGAUGAUAUCAACCAAUAAUAGAAUUAAUGCCUGAUACAGUACAUAGGAAUAAAAUAAUGUCCCUGGUGGUCAGUUUGAACAAUUUCAUCAAAGGUGAUACUGCUAAUACUUUUGAGUGACA